rnacentral:rRNA from 1 species
UACGUAGGGUGCAAGCGUUAAUCGGAAUUACUGGGCGUAAAGCGUGCGCAGGCGGUGAUGUAAGACAGGUGUGAAAUCCCCGGGCUUAACCUGGGAACUGCAUUUGUGACUGCAUCGCUGGAGUGCGGCAGAGGGGGAUGGAAUUCCGAGUGUAGCAGUGAAAUGCGUAGAUAUGCGGAGGAACACCGAUGGCGAAGGCAAUCCCCUGGGCCUGCACUGACGCUCAUGCGCGAAAGCGUGGGGAGCAAACAGG